GGAUCAUUGUCGAAAUCGAACGGAAGAACGACCCGCGAAUCGUCAUUGCGUAGUAGACAGAGCCCGUGAGCACCUAACGCUCACGGGUCUCGCGUCGCGUCGGCGCGGGUGUACUCGAGACCCGCGUCGUACCGGCGGACAAACAACGUCAGCACGGAUCGUGCCAAGGAGCAGCAUGGAGAGAAUCGUCGUCCCACGCCUUUGAUAGUCCUCGACGCGGGACGGGGGAUGUACGCAAUCUCUACUCAAAAGUCUAAACGACUCUCGGCAACGGAUAUCUCGGCUCUUGCAUCGAUGAAGAACGUAGCGAAAUGCGAUACUUGGUGUGAAUUGCAGAAUCCCGUGAACCAUCAAUUCUUUGAACGCAAGUUGCGCCCGAAGCCAUUCGGCCGAGGGCACGCCUGCCUGGGCGUCGUGAAUCCCCUUGCCCCUAGGCACCCGCAUGAGCAUUGGCGGGGACAAAUGCUCGGGCGCAGAAUAUGGUCUCCCGUGGGAUCGGCAUGCACGUCAUGCCGAGGUGCGGUUGGCCGAAAAUCGAGCAUGGCGGUGACGGGCACCACGGCGUUCGGUGGAUCGAAUGAGAUUGGCUGCGUCGUGGGCUCGGCAUGCGGCGGGCUCCGGACUUUGAAUAUCCCCGAGUGCGAUCCCAGGUCAGGCGGGGCUACCCGCUGAGUUUAAGCAUAUCAAUAAGCGGAGGAAAAGAAACUAACGAGGAUUCCCUUAGUAGCGGC
rnacentral:rRNA from 1 species